rnacentral:tRNA from 1 species
AGCUCGGUGGUGAAUUUCACAUGAGAUUGCAAAUCUUAAGAUACAGAAUAAAUUCUGUCCGGGCUU